AGUGGGAUAGCUGGGUCAAAUGGUGAUUCCAUUCCUAAUUUCCUGAGAAAUCUCCAUGCUGCUUUCCAUAGUGGUUGCACCAAUUUGCAGUCCCACCAGCAGU
rnacentral:pre_miRNA from 1 species